UUACUUUAUAUAAAAGACAA
rnacentral:snRNA from 1 species